UACAGAGGUCCCAAGCGUUGUUCGGAUUCAUUGGGCGUAAAGGGUGUGUAGGUGGCGCCGUAAGUCGGGUGUGAAAUCUCGGGGCUUAACUCCGAAACUGCAUUCGAUACUGCGGUGCUUGAGGACUGGAGAGGAGACUGGAAUUCAUGGUGUAGCAGUGAAAUGCGUAGAGAUCAUGAGGAAGACCAGUGGCGAAGGCGGGUCUCUGGACAGUUCCUGACGCUGAGACGCGAAAGCGUGGGGAGCGAACAGG
rnacentral:rRNA from 1 species